AAAAUUUUGGAAGAAUCAAGCUUUAUAAGCUAAUCUCUGAAAGGCAAAAGUUUUGGUGAAUUUGAAGACAAUCUGAAUUUUUAGUGAAUUUCUAAGUGAAGAGGGUUGGUCACCGCGGUAGUUUGGAUCAGUCAACUUCAAAGAAGGAAUUCUCACGAUUGGAUCAUUAGAUUGCAACGAGGAUUGUUGGAUCAAAAGCGCCUUCAAGUCAGCCUUGCAACAAGCUUAGAAUCAUUCAAAUUAAAGCUGAUUACAAAUUUUGGAAAAUUUUGGAGUAGAGGGGGGUUGCUACCUUCAAUCCUUAGGUGUUGUCAAGGUACCUUCGCUUUCACCUCUCUCACUUUAUUUUUACUAUCAUCUUCACAGUGAAUCGUAAGCUCCACAUUUCACUUUUUGGCUAAUAAAUUUUAAGUUUAACUUUUAACCUUUAAUAUUCUCACUUUAACUUUUAACUUUAACUUUUAACUUUAACUUGAAUUUUAACUUUUUAAUUGAACUUUUAAUUUUAAAUUUUUACUUAACCUUUAAUCUUAACUUUUUACUUAAUUUUUUUACUUAACCUUUUAAUUUUAACUUUAACUUAAUCUUUUAAUUUUAACUUUUAACUUAACUUUUAACUUAACUUUUAAUUCAAAUUUAAGUUUUAUUCUUAUGGUCAAUUAAUAGUAAUAAUUUAGUUAAUUAUUUUUAUUAUAUUUUCAUAGUAAAUUUCAUUUAACAUGUUAAUUUAAUAUUGGUAACCAUUGCUUGGAAGGCCUAAACUAAUUGAAUUUUUAAUAUAAAGAUUUAA
rnacentral:lncRNA from 1 species